UUUUACAAGGUAUAUCCAUUUCGGUUCAUCGACAACAUUUCAUUACAUACAAAAUAUGCUUAUACAAUAAUAACAUAAUAACUAAUAAGACAUGCCCAUAAUUAUGAAUAGCUCUCCACUGCCUCAGCCCAAUUCAAACAUCUCAAAGAGUGACAAGCUGACCUAAAAGAUUUUAUAUAACAAUGGAGUGAGCUAAAAACAGCUCAGCAAGUGACAAAG
rnacentral:lncRNA from 1 species